GACGAACGCUGGCGGCACGCCUAACACAUGCAAGUCGAACGGACUUACAAGAGCUUGCUUUUUUCAGUUAGUGGCGGACGGGUGAGUAACACGUGAGCAACCUGCCUCUGAGAGGGGGAUAGCUUCUGGAAACGGAUGGUAAUACCCCAUAAAAUAUAAAUAUCGCAUGAUAGAUAUAUCAAAGAAAUUCGCUCAGAGAUGGGCUCGCGUCUGAUUAGAUAGUUGGUGAGGUAACGGCUCACCAAGUCGACGAUCAGUAGCCGGACUGAGAGGUUGAACGGCCACAUUGGGACUGAGACACGGCCCAGACUCCUACGGGAGGCAGCAGUGGGGAAUAUUGCACAAUGGAGGGAACUCUGAUGCAGCGAUGCCGCGUGGAGGAAGAAGGUUUUCGGAUUGUAAACUCCUUUUAUCAGGGACGAUAAUGACGGUACCUGAAGAAAAAGCUCCGGCUAACUACGUG
rnacentral:rRNA from 1 species